ACACUCCUGCGGGAGGCAGCAGUGGGGAAUUUUGGACAAUGGGCGAAAGCCUGAUCCAGCAAUGCCGCGUGUGUGAAGAAGGCCUUCGGGUUGUAAAGCACUUUUGUCCGGAAAGAAAUCCUUGGCUCUAAUACAGUCGAGGGAUGACGGUACCGGAAGAAUAAGCACCGGCUAACUACGUGCCAGCAGCCGCGGUAAUACGUAGGGUGCGAGCGUUAAUCGGAAUUACUGGGCGUAAAGCGUGCGCAGGCGGUUUGCUAAGACCGAUGUGAAAUCCCCGGGCUCAACCUGGGAACUGCAUUGGUGACUGGCAGGCUAGAGUAUGGCAGAGGGGGGUAGAAUUCCACGUGUAGCAGUGAAAUGCGUAGAGAUGUGGAGGAAUACCGAUGGCGAAGGCAGCCCCCUGGGCCAAUACUGACGCUCAUGCACGAAAGCGUGGGGAGCAAACAGGAUUAGAAACCCGUGUAGUCCCAUGA
rnacentral:rRNA from 1 species